ACAACUUUUAAUUUUUUAUAUAGUAAUAUAAAUGACUGCAACAAAUAACAAAAAUGUCAAUGCAAAUGCUCUGGCUAAUAAAGCACAGAUUCCAAUUGUACAUAAAUCCAGCGCUGUUGAUGGUAUAUUAACAAAAAGACAAAAAGGAUGGGUGGAGGGAGCAAGUAACGACAUAUACACAGAGAACCCUGUUAUUUAUAGACACUGUAGACAUCAGAAGGAAAAAGAACAGGAUGUGUUUGCUAGUAAAAAACAAAGAAAAAACAUAAAUGGGUUAUUAUCGGAAAAUUUAGAUGAGCAAAGAAGUUAUGGUGGUAUUAUUGAAAAAAUACAAGAGAUUCGAAAAGACAGACAUGAAUCUACUAUAGAAGAUAUGAUGCAAGAACUAGCAACAAUUAGCCUGGAUUUGGAGUCUCAGGUACAAGAUUUAAGCAAUACUGCAAAGGAAUAUCUUGAUAAAGAUAGCAAAGAAAUUCAACAGGUAUUGGCUGGCAUCAUGAAUGAUACACAAUUGGUUCAAUAUUCUAUGAAAGACAUCAGGAAAAUUUGGAUAUCAGUAGAAAAGCAUUCAGCAAAACAAGAAGGCUGGAUAAAUGAGCUAGCGCAAGCAUUUAAUAAGAUUGAAGAAAAUAGAUCUGUUUUUAUAAAUGAUGUUAUCAUGUCUUAUACCAUGACUUUGGAAAGAAUUGCUCACUUAAUGCCACCAGAUGUACAUAGAUUGAUGGAAGAUGAAGCAGCUAAAAUCAACUAUUCCAUGAUAUCAAACAAAUCUUCAUAUGCAGAUUUGAUCAAAAGAUUGUUAACAGCUGAUGUAGAGCGUGAAAGAAAAUUGUUUACUCAAUGGAAAAAUAGAGUUGCAGAUUGGAAAACUUUAAAGCUAGAAGAAGCCUUAAGAAAGCAUAGAGAGUAUAUGAGAAGUGGACCUGUUGUGAACUCACCAGCCAUCAAAAGAAUUCUGGAUGAUUUAAUACAAAAACAAAUAACUUUAAAUGGAAGGAGAUUGGACCUGCUGAACCAACUAAUGGAGAUGAAGCCACCCUCAUCCACUAAAGCAUCAGUGUUUCAAUGGAAUCAAGCUAUUACUGAAUCAACUGAGGAGCUAGAGCAAGUCCACACACAGUCUAUAUCUCUUGUCAAGUUAGAGCAUGAAAGAGUACUUAGUGAGUGUGACGAGUAUAUGAAGAAUUCCUUGGAUGAUUUAUUUCAUGCUGAAGUAGUUGAAGAAAAUGUGUUAGAAGAGAUGUCACACGAAAGUUUUUUGCCCCUUAUUGGUGAAAGAAAAGCAACAUUUGAUUAUGACAUGGAGAGGCUUCAGACACAUCUAAGUGAAGUGAGUGCUCAUCAAAAACAAAACUUAAAAGCAUUAUAUAAGUUUAUUCAAGGUGCUGCUCAUAUAUGGGAUAAUCAUGAACUUGGAUUGGUGAAAGAAGAGAGGAAAUUGCAGGAAAUGCUAGAUAAAAACAGAAAAGAACAUGAUUAUCAAAAUCAGAUCAAAGAAGCGAAAUUAGAUAUUGUAAUGGACCGAAUGAGACAGGAAUCAACAGAAGAUGCUUUGGCAAGUAGCUUGAAACAGGCACUGGCAAUGCUGAGUGACAUAAUGAAAGGAUAUUUCGAGUUUCAUUCUCUGCAGAAACAAACAUGUGAAAAGUACCCUCAUAUGAUUUAUGAUGAAGUGCAACGAUAUGGAAUAUCUGUGUGUGGUUACUUUAAUGUGUCUAAAAGACAAAAGCAAAAGGAUGUUAAAACCAUUGUCAAAACAGAGGCAAUUACAUUGUCAAAUGGAUCUUUAUAUCAUCUUUUGCGCAAAGAUUUUAAUCCACCUAAUACAGCUGAAAGUGAUGAAACAACUCAUACAUUAUUGACAACAUUAGACGAUGAUGAUGCCACUGCUACUGGAAGUAAUACCAUAGUAAUACCAUACGUUGAAAGUUUUUUCAUUCCAGAAGACCUUUUUAAAAAGUUAAAAUACAAUAUGUGUCGGGAGUUUUUGGAACACUUAGAGAAGUGGAAGGAAGAAGCAGUCACACGAGCAGAAGCUGUAGUCGUCAUCAAGAUGGAAGAAAUAGACAAUGAAUUGGAUCUUAGACUCUAUCUGCAUGAGCCGCGCUCAAAGAGAGCUGAAAAUGAUGUACAUGACGUCAGAGCUGAGGAACUUGUGUUACAUAGAGACAGAGUUGAACAGCAUUGUUUGGGUAUAUCUGAAACGCUUUCAUCUUUAAAGAUUGGCUACCAAGAUAUGUUGCGUGAUCAUGUACACGAGAAUGAAACAUUCAAACGCUCAGUUGAAGAACUGGUAGUAACUUUUAAUAAUGCAACAAAUACGAAUGAGUUAAAAGCUAUGCAAGACCAAGUAAAUGGGAAGUUAGACCAGUAUGUGGAGAUCAUCCGUGCGUCAGUGCGUCAUUUUCAUUUUAACUUAGAUGAUACGCUAAACAAAUUGAGAAACUCAAAUGCACAAUUCAGAAAAGCUUUGAAAAUAUUUUCUGAAGGAGGAAACUUCUCACCUGAAGAAGUAGAGGAAUUUCGAAAGCGCUUAGAAAAGAUGGCGACAAAAAUUAAUAACUGUGAAGGUUCAUUAAUAGGACAGUUAGAGGGAAUGGAAACCAAGCGUUUGGACAUUGCAAAAGAGUUUGCUAGAAAACUGGAAGAUAGGUUUAAACACCAUUUAUUUGAUUUAACUUUUGUUGAGAAAAUUAAAAGGUGGUUAACGAAUAUCCAAGUAAAAAUUAAAGGAGAGGUAGCAAACAGUAACUCUCAGAGUCAGCAUUUAAGUAAGAUGAUAUCUGUCUUCAGUAGAAGAUUAGAACGUAUAAAGAAUCCUUCCGUAGAUGGUGAGAAAUUUACUGUAGAAGAGCUUCACGAGACUUUACAACCUGUAAUCGGCACGUUUAUUAGCCGUACUGUAUAUCUGGAUUGUGCUUUUAAAGUUCAGAGAGCACCAAGUACGCCUGUCAUACUAGAAGGUAGCAGUAAGCAGGAUAUUGAGAAGUGCAAUUUGAAGGGGAAAGGCAGGAAGUCAGUGAAAAAGCAAGCUUCACGACUAAAACGCCUUUCAAGUGGGAAGUCUACACAUAAUUCUAAUGAGAAAACAACUGCAUCCUUGGUUGGUAAAAAAGAUUCGGCUGAAGAAGAAGGAUUGAAUGUCUUAUCUGAUGUUCCGACUUUAUUAAUUGUAAACUUUUGUGCGUAUGGCUUAUAUUUAAUACACCAAAAGAGCUACUUUGUUGAUUUCAAUUUUAUACUCUUCGCUGUGUCUGUGAAACUUUAAGGGGAACAUUUGGUGGAAGACAAUGGCAUGACAUAUACUGAUAGAACUGAUUUUUGUUGUGUUAGAUGUUAUAUCUGAACCUUUUUGACAUUUUAUGUUAAUUUUGCGAGGAAGGACCAUAUAUAUAUACACAGAAGAAGAAUUCAAUUUUACACCUUGCAAGCUUUGUUUUUCUAUAUUUUGUAUAAAUUCUUACUGGGGAGGACUCCGUGCAAUAUAUCGAAAUGACUGAUCCUUCUCGAUUUAAAUUUGAUGUGUUCUAAAUCGUAUAUAGUUUUGGAAAUUUUGUGUAAGAUUUAAUGGGUAAGGGCUAGAUGCAAUAUGUCAAAAAAACUUUUUUUGUUGAAUCAGAAGCACUCCCUACAACCAUUCUUUUUUUUACAGUUUGUGAAGCUUUUGUGAGGAAAGAGUGUAUGCAAUAUUAUCUAAAUAACUGAUUUUUGUUGCAAACUGUCUUUCUUAGGCAUUUUGGAUUAAAAUAUUGUUUUAGAGGGCAUAUGCAGUAGAUAUAUGUACCGAAAUAAUUAAAUUUUGCAAACUUUGAUUUUGUCGUUACCUCUCAUUUUUUACAUUUUGAUUAAACUUUUGUGGGAGACCGUCGGUAUGCGAAGGACCAAAAUAAGAGAUUUUAGUAUUAUUUAGAAUUUGUAUUUUGUGUUGCAAAAUUGGUGCAAAAAUUGACAUAAAAUGAACUUAUAUACAGAUUGAUUGCUGUUGUUUAAUGACUCAUUAUGACUUAUAUAUAUAUUUUAUGAAAAUUUGUGACAAAAUACUAUGUGAGAUUUGAAAUUUUGUUUACUUUAUUGAUGGUAAAACAGCAUGCGAAUUGCUAAAAGGACUUUAUUAAUUAUAGGUUUAAACACCGUUUUUUUGUUGGCAUUUUGUCUAAAGUUUGGUGAGGAAGGAUCGUAUGCAAUAUAUCAAAUAAUGUUUUAUUGCAUUAUAAUUUAUCCUUGCAAAUCCCUUUUUAACACCUUAUAUAAAAAUUUCUACUUAGGCAAAAUUUAUUGUUUAUUUUUCACAUUGUGUGUCAACCUUUGGCAGGGUUUGCAAUAAACUAACUGAUUUUAACAUAUACAAUGAGAGAGAUUUGUGUUUGACAUUGAUCAGCUUUUUUGUAUAUAUGUGGCGUUUUAAGUGAUUUAAAUUUUAUGGGUGAGAUGUAUGUUGAAAUGCUUUUGGAAACUUCUUUCCGAAUAAUUUUCGCAUUUGUCAGAUGGUCAGAGCAAGUAAUUUUAGUAGAUUUAGAUUUUAAAUGUCACAUAAAUACUGCAGUUGUUGAAAACCUUUAAUUUUUUUGGUCAUUUAUAUAAUAAUGCAGAUGUAAGAUGCGCACUGCUGUAUUGUUUGUUUUUUGAUGGACAUAUAUCUGUUACAUAAAUUAAAUGGAAUACAGUGGAUUCUUCCACGGGAAACAGCUAGUUUUUAUUAUUUUCGAAAUUAGCAUUGCAAAUAUUUGAGUUAAUGGAGCAUUAUUGUCACAUUUAAAGCUCUUUUGUAUGUAAUUUCCCUGUAAAUUUAUCAUACAAUUCACUUCAGAUAUAGAAUUUCAGAUACGCAAUAGCCAUUCUAGAUUACUAGCUGGAGAAAACCGCCGUCGAAACGCUGGGCUAAUCUAUCAGUGGCGAAGCGUUGAAUGCCAGGUUGAGCAGGUAGAUCUUGUUGCACAACGGGUUGUGAAAUUUUGGUGCAGGUAUACGAUGUGUCACAAUUUCAGUAGAGCGCUUCAGCGUUAAAGCCUUCCCGACAAUGAAUGUCAGAUUGAGGGAUUAGUGCAGGUACACUAUUUCACACUAUCAGGCGAAGUGCUUUAUGAUUACGCGCUAAAUUUCUUUGAUAUUGAACAAUCGAAUUAGAUGCAAACAUGCUAUAAAUAUAUCCAAAUCUAUGUAAAUAAUUAAACUUAAAAGCGGUUGUUCUUAAUGACUCUUUAAUGACUAUAUGCAACCAAAAGAAAAUCUUCGUUUAAAAAUAAUUAUGUGAGAAGAAAAUUAUGAAACAAACUUAUCGAAAAGUUCUCGUUUUAUGAAAAAACAAUAACUUUACUUAACCAAUUAUUAACCAAUCGGAAAAAUAUAAGAUUUUUGCACGCUUUUUCAGGCAACCAGAGUGAAAAUAUCAGCUUUUUGCACUAGAAUUGAAAAAAAGAAUUGCACUAGUUUUUCAGUAGAAAAUACAAAUAUAGCAUAUAUGCCAGAACUAAUACCAAUUUGUGAUGACUAAUUAUACUGGAAAGAGCCAAAAAUAUGCUUAUUAUAAAUGUCAUAACGCCGGGUUAUGCUACAAGUAACUGUUACCUGGUGUUAAACGCCACGUUGAGCGCUUAGUAAAGCAUUUAAUCAAGCUGCAAACUGUGCCAUACAUCCGGGUGGAGCGCUUUUGUACAAGUAUGCAGUAACGUCGUCUAUCGCAGGUGUAUAAAUAUAACUUUCCCGCAACUUUACCUGAAUUGAAAACACAGUUUACACACCGUUGUUAUCCCGUCAUAGCAAAAACAAUCGGUCAUUAUUACCCGGGUAAAAGGGCGGCAUCAAUAUUUCUGAAUAUUGCGCAAUGUGAUUGGUUAGAACUUACGUCAUGGUGGGCAUUAUUACCCGGAUAAAAGGGCGGCAUCAAUAUUUCUAAAUAUUACGCAAUGUGAUUGGUUAGAAUUUACGUCAUAGCGGGCAAUAUUCCACGGUAUUGUCCGCUACCAUAGCAACCGUGUUUAAAGUUUAAAUAUGGUAGCAUUAAAUGUAAAUAAAUACGGAAAAAAGUAAACAAAACGCGAAAAAUAGUAAAACUUACUUUUAUGUUUUCAAGAAUUCUAUGUUGCAGCUACAAUAAAAACCUGUGAUAUUUACAAGAUAUUCGAUUUAAAAAAAACAUAUUAGUUAGUUCGAAUGUAUGUUCCAUAUGGGAAUAGUUUCUAUAAAGCCAUGGUUUCUACGUCCUGCUUAUAAUGUUAUAUUUUUGGUCGUAAAAUGCAGUACCCGGAUAAUAAUCCAUAUAAUAACUGUUUAUUUCGGGCAAUACCUUCGAAUAUUGACGUCGGUCAAUAUUCUCCGGUAUUGCCCUCAUAAACAGUUAUUAUAGGGUUAAUAUUAUUUUAUUUUACAAAAUAAGUUUCCGUGAAAGUUUAAAAAAAUCAUUGUGACACCGGGCUGAGGAGUUAGUACAGGUAUAUAGGCGUAAUACCCUUAUGAAAAAAAAUUAUGGCAAAUUUAAUUUAAUUUAAAUAAAACAGGAGCUGUCUGUUUUUAAUACUGGUCUAAGCACUUAGUACAGGUAAACUGUGUCGCAGAUGCAUAUAGGUGUAAUACCCUUUUAUAAAAACUUUAUCGCAACUUCGGUUUAAAUAAAAACACAGGGAACAGCCUGUUGUUACCCCGUCCAGCUAAAACAAUCGCUCAGCCAUUUUUUUUUUCGUAGAAAAAGUAGUAGUAGCAUUUAGCAUAAGAAUUAUUGCUUAAGAUUAUUGUUGUAGCCAAACUGCAUUUGGCUACUUCCACUUUUUAGUAAGAUAUAGCUAAAGAGCUAGCUAGAUGGUCACAACCACAACGUUAAAAUAAAUAAUUUUGGCUAAAAAGCUCCUAUAUUAAACUAAAUAACACCCUUAAAAGAAUAAAAAUAAAUAAGGCUAGCUAACUGGUUAUAAGAUGUCGUUCAUAGCCAAAAUCAUAAAAUUGGUGGUUUCAGAUUUCUACGUGGCUAAAAAAUAUAUUUACCUUAACAUGUGAAAACAUACAGAAAACAAAUAUUAUAAAAUAAAAAGAUUUUCAAAAUAAAAUAGUAAAACAGAAACCUACAUACCUAGCACUGAACACACCACUUUCAAAAUCAAAAUGGCCGUCGGCAAUUUUUGGCUGCAAAAAUCCGGCGUCGAAUUGCGGGUUAAGCUAUUGGUGACGAUGAAUAGAAAUUCGACGUGUAAGAAAUGCAUUAAUCACAAAUGGAUACAGUCAUAAAGUCAUCACGCAAGUAGAAAAUAAAAUGAAGAGAAGAUGCAACGGAGACAACAAGGAAACAUCAGAGGAAUUUAUCGCAUCAGCAUUCCUACCCUUCGUACCAGGUACCAGCGAGAUCCUUCGUCGAGUUUUAAGGCAACACAAGAUCAAAUGCAUUCUUACCUCUAAAGACACCCUAAGAAGCACUUUGUCUAAACCAAAAGACAAAAUAAACCUGGAAGAGCAAAACAAUGUUGUUUACGAAAUCCCGUGUAAAGAUUGUGAUGCAGUGUAUAUAGGCGAAACAAAAAGAAAGUUUAAGCAACGAGUACAAGAACAUAUGCGCGCAGUGAGAAACGGAGAUGUGAGCAAAAACGAAAUUGCGGACCACAGCUGGAGCAGAAGUCAUCAGUUUAAUUGGGAUGAGAGGAAAAUCAUUGACAGAGAAUCCAGAACAACGGCUAGGAAGAUUAAAGAAACCAUCAACAGUGUAGAACGUAACAAACACAUAAACAGCAUCUCGUAUCAACUUCCUGAGAUUUGGUUACCAGCUCUACAGAAGAAGUAGUUACCUACAUCCAGGUCCGAAAAUGUUAAUUACCGUAAUUAACUGUAAUUAUCAGCUCGUUUCUGAUUGGUUAAUUUUUAUGAAUUUCGAUCCUCUGCAAUUAUAUAAAUACAUGCGCAACAUCAUUUUACUUUGCCCGAUGAUGGGAGAAGGAUCUCCCGAAACGUCGCCUACUAAACUAUCAUGUUCAAGAAAUGAUAAACUUUUCACAGUAAUUAAAAAUAUUGAUACUAACUAUGCUAAGACUACAAACUCUAUAACUUUAUCUGCAAAAUAUUGAUGAUAGUGGCAUAUUAUUGACUAAAAUGAGUACUGAGAAAAUUGACUUUAAAGCAAAACUAAAAAAAAAAUAGGCAAACUUUGAUAGAAGCUGAAAUUUAAAUCAUACUACAUGUCAAAACUGGAAAAAUUAUAGAACUAUUAAAGAAUAAAAGAAAUAAAAUAGAAACGCGAGUAAUAUCGACCACUGACACACAGGGUAGUGAAAUAUUUAAAAAUCAAAGGAUUUUAAGUGUAUAUCAAAGUGGUUACCAAUUAACGGUAUUCUACCUUAUUAGAGCACGUUCCCUGUUGUAUCAGGAUCGAUUUUGCCCCUUCUUCAGGCCGCAUCCGUCAGUGGAAUCCCUUGCGGUCCCUGCCCCCCAAGGCGACGCCAAACAAGGUAUGACGCCCUGGACCUGGGCCCUGGGUUGCUUUUACGGUACCGCAGGUACGCUUUGUAAGAUAGAUCCUAAAAUACGGAAAAAUAUAGUAUAUAAAACUCAACUCAAAUAUAUCAAUAUAAGACUCAAUUUUUUCUGCAACAAUGUGAUGAGAAUAUAAGAGAGAUUUGGAAUUUAUAGAGGAUGGUAAAAAAAGUGGGCCGUACAUAACUGCUGUUGUAAGUGAUGUUGUUGCUGACGUUGUUGCUGUAUUGACCGCUGAUAUUGUGGCAGCUGUUGUUGUUUUUGUUGCAAACGUUAUUCAUGCUGAAGCAGCAGUGUUUUCAUAACGUGACGAUUUUAAGUUGCCUAAAAAUAAAUUAUUAUUUAAAUAAAGUUGCAUGAAUAGAAGAUAUAAUUUGCAGAACUGAUUAUACAUGUACAGUUACAUAUAUAAAUUUCCUUAAGUAAAGGAAGAUGAUACAUAAUUCUUGCAAAAAGAAAACCCUUGCUUUUAGUUUGCAACUUUAACUGGACUUUAAGAAAGUGUAUUUAGUAGAAUAUAGUUUUUUUAAACUAGUAAGGGCUACAAAGUUUUUAUUUUAUUCACCUUAAAAUUAAAAUUCUGUUUAUAUAAUUGUGAGUUCGAAAAAUUUGUUUAUUUAUAAAUCCAGCUAAAAUUGACGAACGGGGUGCACCGCGAGAAGGUAAGCCAUUGGAUUUCGCACCCCACCUAUAAGAGAAGAAAAACAUACAUUUGCAAAAUAAAAUGAACUCUCAAAGGCAGUGAAAGAUAAUAUUUUAAAGUGUAGGAGAUAGAAGUAGAGGUUCCUUUAAUAUGGUAUACAAUUUAAUUCAGCAACACCGCAUCAACUUGACCUUUGUCUGCCACAAAGAUCAAGUAGACACGGCACUUGUUCAGGCGUAAACACACUUUAAUCAUUAAAGUUGAGGAACUAUAUCCGAUUAAAGCUUGAGACAGAACAUGAUAACACUGUCAAUACACCCAUAAAGGCGCAAGAACACCCGAAACCCAUUAACCAUGUAACAUGGUGAUAUAAUGGUCACGUAGACAAUACAUAAUUUUAAUAAGCACCAAAUGGAAGUUUCUUAAAAAAAAUAUGUUAUUGCGGGUUAGUGUUACAUAUGACAAGUGACAUUAAUCAAUACUGAAAGCUUUGGUGUUGCAUAAAAGCGAAACAUGAAAAAUUAUGGCUUCAAAGUAUUAACAAGUUGUACCUAACUGCUUAAAAUGACCGGGCAUGUGAAAAUGCAACAUAAAGUUGGCCAUGACUAAAGCAAGGUCUACGUUAGAAUAUACCAACUUUCUCAAAAGUUUGGCCUUGACUCUUAUUUAUAGUCAAUGCGCAAGACAAUCUUAAGGAAACUGAGUGCGUUUAAUUUGAAAGCGUAGAUUUGUAUCAUUCGGACAGACGGACACUCGGAAUUAACACACGAUUACCUCUACGAAUACCAGUAAAAUAUUCACAAUCGAUAACAUUUCCACGCUAACUACGAAGACCGUCUUUAAGGGACGAUUUCUCAAAACAUUACAACACAUCCUACUUCAAAAUUUAAUUGAUGUGGUGGCAUACCACUUGGAGUUAAGAAAUUAAUAAACUCCAUUGGAUAUAAAUUAUUUUCUUCUUAAUCAUCCAAACAACAAAGUCGAUACUGUAAUAUGUACGAGUAUCGUCAGAAAUCUGAUUAAAAAUAUGUUCAUUUAUUUCUAAGGCUUCUUCGUUUGUUGAAGUUAAGACGACAAAACGCGAAGAUUCCACAUUAUGAAAUUCACUAAAGAUAGAAGUAACGAUAUUUUCAUUAGGUUGCAGAACACAUUCAUGAGGAAUUUUAAUACAACCUUGAUUUGAAUCAUCUGGUUUUGGGGGGAACCGACCACUAUCAAGGUUUAGAAAAAACUCAGCAAAGACUUGCUCUCCUUCUCCAGCUCUCAUGUUUGUGUGAAGGUGGAAAAUUCGAGUCAAGGGCCAGAGUUCCGAGCUUUUUAAACAAACUUCUACAAUUUGUGCAGGUUCAGCACUUCUGACGACAGGGAGUACUUGACGGAAAUCUCCUCUCAAAAGAAUAACUUUACCAGCAAAGGGAAUUUCAAUAUUACAUGUAUCCCUAAACAUUCUGUCAAUUUAUCAAAUAUAAUGAUGUCCUGUCUUCUUAAAAAUGCUGAAUGGUCACUAUUGGAUUUGAUGUUACAUGUACAUCCGUCUAAUACGGGGACUGGUAAUUUGAAAAGAGAGUGGACAGUCUUACUAUUCUGCAAUAAUGUACCAUCAAUACCUGUCCAGACACAAGUAGCAACACACAGAUUUCUUGCAACAACUUCCUUAUUAACGUAAUUAUAUGUAAACCUUUUACCUGUGCCACCUGGCCCCGGAAGAAAAUAUUAAUUAAUGUUAUUAUGGGUGACGGCAUUCAGAAUAGAAACAGCUACAUGACGAUACUGAGCAUUUAACAAGGCUGGAUAUUUAGAGCCUCUUGCCUUGUUUCUUCGGCAUUUGGCAAAUUAUUAAGCAAAGCGUCCUGUAAAGCAGGAAGACCAAAAUCAGUAAGAUGCUUACCAAAUUGCUGAAUAACACCUUUAGUUGUACUUAGCAUUAUUUGUUCUGCCUGCACUUAAGGGUGGUGACGUAAGUAAUUCUCCAUCAUUGCAGCCUGAAAGGUUUCCCACAAUUCAUGUGGGUUACGUGGCUCAUUAUGAAUGAAUAUGAAAGGAAAAGCUUUUCUUAUUUUAGACGGAGAAGCGUAUUUCAUAAACUCAUACAUAGUGCGAAUCCAAAGGUUGUCAUCAGCUAACAAUCCUCCUGCUAAGCAUGCAUUCCUUAAAGAAGCAUAAAGAUUUUCUUCCAAAAUUCUUAAGUCGUCAAAAGAAGUAGCACCAGGGACAUGCAAUAAAAGGACGCGCAAAAAAUACCUUUCACCUUCGCGGAUGCUGGCAUUAUACAUUUUACUUACUAUCUUUUCAGCACCGCGUUACCUAACUACCCACCGUUUUUGUUGUUGUGUAUUCCGAAAAACAAAGUGGUAAGGUAUUUCAGUGUACAAAAAUCGUUGCGCAUGCAGGUCCUGCUGAUUUAAUUAAAACCAAGAUGUUAACAUCGUCUUAGAAUUUUCAGCCCUGUCAACAGCAACAGCCUCGUCGCCUUCCCUAAAAAACAUUUGUUAGUGAUUUGGAAGGUGAACAGGAAGUCUUAUGAUGGAAUGACUCUGAGUAUGCAUAGGAAAUUCACAGAAACGCCAAGUUGCUUCAGGUGCAGAUACAUAUGUAGCAUCUAAGAAUAUUGUUACUUCAUCAUGAUUGAUGCGCAAAUUGAUUUCUAUGUGUGUAGUAUCAUAACCUUUGUAAAUGUAUUUAUACAAAUACUUAACACACACGCUUUCAAGUUGAUAUAUUUUACAUAGAAAGGGGUUAUAAGGUACACCCACCUAUUAUCAACAUCCAAGUUUCAAAUUCUUACCGUUCUUGCUUGGAUAUUCGUCUACAUUUAUAACGGUUCCAUCAUCAUCUUUUUUUAAAUCAAGCAAUUUAAACACCCAUGCAACCAAAUCUGGUCUAUCAGAAGCAGAUUGACUAGGUAACAAAUUAGUAACAAUUUCUGGCCAUUCUGGAUUGCAAGUGAAAGUCAAGAACAAAUCCGGCUUACCUUUCUUUGAAACCAAUUCCAUUGCAUCAAGGUACAACUGGUGUAUGUUAUGGGCCUUGGUAGGACUCUGCUUGAAGCUGUUGAUUUCAGCGAAUAAAUGCAUGUCGUUGGCCUUCAACUUUAACAUAUGCAUCUACUAAAAAUUGCUGAAACAAUUUACCCACUAGAUAAAGGGCAGAAAACUCUCGCCUAUCAGCAAUGCGGUAAAUAUAAUAUGCUAACUGGGUAAGCCUAUUUUUAACUGCAGUAGCAUGCUUUCUGGCAUGGGCUAUGUUUUGGUCCCAACCAGGCUCACCACGUGGAAAUAAAAUGGAAUACAUCAUAUGGUCACUAUUGCAUGAUGUAUGAGGGAUUUGCCACAAAGGUUGAUUACGUGGAUAAACAACAAUAUCUCUUGAAGCAGGAGGUGCCCCAUAAUUACAAACAAAGAUGGCAACAACCUUCUGAUGCAAGGGGUCAUUAUACCUUCUGUGAUCAUUAUCGUCGCGCAUUACCAUACUUACAACAGAAGGCUGUCUGUUUUUCGCUGCUGCUCUAGCUGUUUUUUCUCUUUCCACUUCAGCCAUAUUGAGAAUCCCUGUUUAGAACAUCUUGAAUUAUCUGCAUUGUUUCACGAUUACAAUGAGCAUGUGUUGGAUUCUCAAUACGCAUGUUUAAGGCAGCUGCAAUGUACAACUGACUAUAAUUAGAUAUUUCAUUCUGAGCAGGUAAUCACCAUACCUGUGAAAUAAUUGACUACAUAUUCUAAAACAGGGCGGUACAUGACCUGGCGGUAGUCGAAUGUUUGCUGACAAAGAAGCAAAACCAAAUGCAUUAUUGUAUACUCUGAUAUAUUUACGAAACUGUUUAGCCUGGGCAGAGUCGUUGCUUAACAAUUCACGUAUUUCAGGAAAUUGUAUUAAAGCAGGCAGGACCACUUUGCCAUUAUGACAAAGCAGGGCCACUUUGCCAUUAUGACAAAGCAGGGCCACUUUGCCAUUAUGACAACACUUAAAAUGAUUUUAAUUUUAAAUUUAUUAGCUCCACAAUGCUCACACACGAUAUUAAAAUCACCUCCAGAAUGCGUAGGAGGUAAGACAUUGUAAUCAUUAAGUCUAGCUAAAUUUAAAAAUCGUGGACGCCUAGCUUAAUGAAGCAAAACUUCUGCCUUCUGUCGUGCAUUCCCCUGUUCAAUAUUUACUGUUGCCUUCACAGAAGUAGAAAUCAGCAAAAAAAGCAAUGAUAUAAAUGAAAAACUUUCCUUUGUCAUUGAUCAUUCACUUGCUUUUACCUUUGCCUUGUCUCCUUGUUCGUUUGUGCCAUCGGACUAUAAAGGUGCUUACAAUUACCAGGAAACCAUGAGGCUUACCUAUUGGUUAAUAUUCACAUUUGUGCUUGCUGAUUGGUUGAAAUAAUCUAAUCUAAAACUGGUCAAAAAUAAUAGGUGUUUUUGAGAAAUUAAUCCGAAAACAAAGGUGGUAAAAAUUUUUAACAAAAUACGGAUAUUAUUAUAAAGAUAGUAAACAGGAAGACAAAAGCGUAUUAUAAGGGGAGUGUGACAGUAAUAACUAUCUAUUACUAAAAAACAGCAGUUUGCAACAUAAGCAAAAAUACGAACAACCCAUACCAUCCUCUCAUAAAUUAAAAAGUCAUAAACCCACGUAAAUUGCCAAUCAAAUGUCUACAACCCCCUGUGAAAAUAACCUGGCAUUUUACAUUGUAGGCUGACAAAAGUUUAACAGGAUGUCAGAAGCACAACAAUAAAAAUAACUUAACAUCCACGCUUUAAAUUAUGAAAAAAUUUAUUCCACUUGUCAUAUUGCCCGUGGUCCCCUUGUAAAGUUUACAGGAAAUGCUCGAUUCAUAAAAGAAGAAAAGUUUGGAAACUAAGGUAGCUAGCUAUAGAUAAUUAAAAAAGAGGAAUAACAACAGUAGUCAUAGGUUAGAGCCAUGGGGGAUGAGAAGAGUAGGAUCUGGAGGCUAACAUUAGCUAGGUAACAGUAGCUAAGACACCCCCAGUUAAAUAUACUUAAACUGGAAAUAUUUAGCUAAAACUAAAGCUAGCUAUUUAUGCUUAGUAGAACACAUAUAAAGAGAAACAAUAGUAAUGUAGAAAUAAUAACAUUUCAGUGAGUUCAACAAACAAAAGUUUUCCGUUUGUUAGUCAGCUAACAGCUUUAUGUAGCAUUUUGAAUUUUAGGACAAAUACAUUAGUUACGCGCCAGGGCAUACAUUAAUUAUGCAACAAAAUGUCAACAAAUAUGACUACUAUCAGAAUUUGAGGCUUUUAGGUGGUUUUGCUGAGAAAAGGGAGCCUACUUGCUCCAGCGACAUAAAAACCAAACGUCUAAAAAUAUCAAGUUCUUACUAUUUGUGAUUUCAAAUCCUCUUUAAACUCUAGCCUUUAUUUUCUACUUCUAACUUUACUUUACUUCUAGCUCCACUUCUCACUUCCAACUUAACAUUUCUACUUCUUCACUUGAACUUUUUUCUUUUUAAAUGUACUUUUUAAAACACUCUUUUCACUUUUUUCAAGAUAAAGGGAUCAUUCUUUGUUUCUUUUUUUUUGUUGGCAAGAGGACACCAUUUUUCAAAAGUUAGCCGUUAAAUUUAUUUCAGCAAAUCAAAUUGAGUCGUUUUCAUUACGUGAUGUAAACAAAGUAAACCCGCUAACAAAAUGGACAUAAUUUGUUCGGCGACUUCAAAGAAAAUUUCGGCGACAUCAAAGGAAAAUGACGAUAUCCACUAUGACCGUCACAUACACUCCGUAUUAUUAUAUAAGACUAGUCGAUAAAGCCCGUGGAAAAACCCACUUAGACAGGAUAACAGUAAAAAAUAACCGUUAUUUAAAUUUUGAUAACGUCAGCAAGGACCUGUCAAGAGACAAAAUAUUUUCUCCUGGAAAUUUGUUUACUUGUUGCCUCUAUUGUGUAUAGCUUGAAUAGUUGAUUAAAUAUUGUAUAGAAUCAUUUUUGCAAAACCGAACAAAUAUGCAAAAAAAUUAUUUUAAGGAAUUUGUAUACCUGUUGCCUCCAUCACAUAGAUCUUGAAACGCCGAUCAAGAAAAUGUAUAGGAUGAAGGUUUUUCGAUGAAGUCGUCAACCCGUCUAUUCCGAAACGGAUUCUGGGACCCAGGUUUGGGAAAAUGACCGAAAUUGGUCCUAGGUGGUCCCUAGUUACCCACGCGGUAAAAAAUCAUUGACGUCACCACCUCGUUUCCAAGUUAUUUGGCCUCAAAGUUUCAGGUGCAGUGUAAUGGCUUCGCUUAUGUUAAUAUACUUUCCUUUGACGUUAAUAUUAUUUACUGUUAAAGUUUGGUAAAUUACAGAACCAUUUUAUUGGGGAUGUUUUACAGACUUUAUAAAAGAAAGUAGUGAAGAUAACAAUCCACUUUGCAAAAGUGACAGACAGACAGAACUGGCGUAUUAUUAUAUAGAUAAUCGAUAAGCCCGUCGAAAAAUCAACUUAGGCAGAGGUAAAAUGGAAAGAGCGGUUAGCAGUGUCCCGUUCAUAUACAUAAAAAUUAUUCUUAGAAUUAUGUUAACCCGUAGCAUCUAUUGUGAAUAACUUAAAACACUGAUCAAAAUAAUACAUACUAGUUGUAGAGGCCCGUGGAAAAAUCCACUCAGGUAAAAGAACAAUGAAAUAUUAGAAGAUUUUAGGAAUUUUGAUGACGUCAGCAGUGUCCCGUUUAUCUACAUAAAAAUUUUUUUUAGAAAAUAUGUAUAGGAUCAUGCGUUUUUGAUAGUUGGAAAGACCCGUGGAAAAAUCCACUUGAACUCUAUAGUUAUGAACCAUACCACAAAUACUAAAAAAGCAGUAAAAAUAAGGAUAACUUACAAAAAAGAAAACUUGGGAUUUUGUUUUCUGUAAACCUAAAAAAUGAUAAUAAAUUAUGAUGAUAAUACUUUCCUAUUUUUGUUUUCUGUAAAAAAAUAAUUCAAUGGUUAUAUAUAGACUGUAUAAUAUUGAAAUAAUGGUAGGUAAGUCCUCUCCCCUUUUUCUCUUUCCAACCACAAAUGUUUCAAGUUUGUUUUCAGGCGCUGCGUUUAGAAAGUUUGUAAGUAAACAAGAAAUUUCUAUUGGUAGAUGUCCGACCAGUAGUGUUACUUCAUCGGUUGAUUUAAAAACGCCAAUAGCAUUUGAUGUGACACCUGUUUGGACGGAUAUGGUGUCAAACACAACAGUAGAUGUUGUUGGGAAAAAAAACUGUUAGUAUGAAGACAACCGGACACGAAAAAUGUCGUGUAACCAUUGGACUGGCUGCGAAAGUCGAUGGAACAAAACUGAAGCCCUUCAUUGUAUUCAAGGGAGGAAAACGUGAUGUUGAAAAAAUGAAGAAAGAGUAUGGAAAUAGGUGCAUAAUAGCUUCAUCGACAAACGGAUGGAUGAAUACCGAUCUAACAGUUAGUUGGACAAAUACUGUUCUCGGACAGUUUAACUUUAAACGCAGAUUGUUAGCUUGGGAUACAUGUGAGUGUCAUUUAAUGCCAGUUUUCGGAGCAUCUCUUAAAGCUAGAAAGAUUGACACCGUUUUGGUCCCUUGAGGUUGCACUAAAUAUAUUGAGGCGCCGGAUGUUAGUUGGAACAAGCCGUUUAAAGCAUAUUGCACAGAGAAAUGCGAUGAAUGGCUUGAAACCGUCGGAAUUCAUCAAGUAACCGAUGGCGGGAAUUUGAAACCUCCGCCUUCCAGCACAAUUGGAAACUGGAUUCUUGAUUCCUGGAAGGAGCUGCCAGCUGAAUUAAUACGUAAAUCGUUAAAAGCGUGUGCCUUAACAUCGGUUACUGAUGGGAUCGAGGAUAAAGAGAUCCAUUGUUUCAAAGAGCAUCAACCCUGUCAGGCUGGUCUUGCAAUGCUCAAUGAACAAAUACAACUGGUAAACGAGACGGAAGACAACCCAUUUAUCCCAGAUGCCGAGGAAAUGACUGAUGCGGCUCCCUUAGAGACGAUCGUAGACAAGGACGAAGAAGGCGAUAGUGAUAUUGAGAUCGAUUAGUGUUUAUUUUUAUUAUACUUUUAGAAAGAUAUGUUGUGUUUAUUAAAAUCGUUGUUUUAAUUUUUUAGCACACUAGAUUUUUGCACAAUUUUAUAAGCCCCCCUCCCAUUUAUUACACCCCCCAGCUACUUUCCCAAAUAAGCCCCCUCCCCAAAACCCAUUUUGACAAAUAAGUCUCCGGAGGCUUAAUCGAUCAUACUGAAAUGCUCCUUUAAACUUGACGAAAUCAGAGGAAAUUACGAUCAAUAACAUAUUGAAAAGUUGAAAAGCCCCCUUUAAGCUGGGUGUUCUUAUAAAAAAAUAUAAAGGUGGUUAAAAACAGGGGUUUGUCCUUCAGGAGGGUAAAGGUCCCCAACAUGAUGCCAUAUUUGACCAUACGAAAGCAUGGUGGAACGCGGACAGGUGGGGGGAGAAGGUUUGCUCUAAAAGAAACCAAUGCAACAGCGCUAUUAUACCUACUUAUAUUUUCGUAAAAGCUUUUUGCCUGAACAGUAUCUGUAUUUGUUAAUAAUUCCCUAAGCUGCUGAGGGCAAAAAGACAAAUUAUCUAAUGCAACUUUACCAGCGUGACAACAUUUAAAACAAUUUUUAUUUUCAAACUUUGAAGCUUGACAAUACUCUUUGUCCAUAACACCUAAAAAUAUAAAUUAGGCAAUACAUUUUGACGUGCAAUAUAAUACGGCGCAUUUCGGCGAGCACAAACAGCAGCAUGCCUGGCGUAUAUGUACUACCUGUUCAACAUUUUGCCUUUGUCGAACAACAGCUUGCCUCUCAGCAUUUAGACGUCGUCUAUUGGCAGUCUGCUCACCAUUUUCUACUUGACAUGCAACAGCAUGUCGUACAGCAUCCUGUGCACGUCUAUUGGCAUACUGCUCAUUACUUUCAGCAAUACGCACAGAUGUGACACCUUGUGCAAGUCUACGCCUAACUAUAGACACAUCAUCAAUAAUUGAUGCACGUGGUAUGACAUUAACCUGAACUUCAUGUGACAGUUUAACAUGUUGCGGAGUAUCUGGCAUCUGCUGGCCCAUAAUGAGACCUACUUACCUUUGACUAUUUUCAGGGCGUUGCAACACAAACCCGCCAGCAUUAUUAAAAAGCCUAUAACCACGUACAGGGUUGUUACUGUUACUGCAUUCUAAUGGGUUAGACAUGAUAGAGAAAAAUACACAACCUAGCUAGCUAGCUAGCUAGUAGGAACACUGUCCGAGCACUGUCCUACUAAUAUCUCGCUCGUUACGUCUUUUUCUAUUAGCAAAGAAAAAUAAAGAAAAAAUGCUAAGCUAACUGCAAAUGUAGGUGAAUCUAAAGAAUAGGUUACUUACUAACAACUGAUUUUUUAAAACUCUCUUUUCUAGCUAAUAGAAGUCUAUAUCUACCACACGAUCUCAGCAAAUCCACUUAACUUCGACUUAAAAUUUCAAUUUUAAAUUUCAACUUCAACUUAAAAUUUACUUAACCAAAAAAAGAAAAUGUUACAACAAAUAAAAUAAAUGGUUUUUCCGAUAUUUGUAUAUAGCAAGCAACCUACUUCGUUCGUUCGUCUCCUGAACUUGAAAUAACUUUUUACGUAUGUUUUGAUGGUCAGGGAAAACUUGGAAUUUUCAGCAAAUAUAAUUGUUUUAUUUUGAUCACGUGGUUUGGUUUAUCCAUUUAAAUUUUUUAUUAUGAUCCCGUAAUUUUAAAACGUAAACACACAAAACUCGUGGCUUUUCUCGACAAGACAUAUUUUUUUCGACAACAUCAAAGAUUUUUUUGGCGACAUCAAAGAAAAAUAAGCAUAUCAACUUUGCUUGUUACAGAGACACGGAACUGACCUAUUAUCAUAUAGAUAAACAUGUACUUUUAACGAACAGUUGAGAAGAUAUAUACGUUUAAAAACUUUGCUGACGUCCUGUCAAGGACCUGUCAAAUUACAAAAAAAUUUUUUUAGAAAUUUAUAUGCCUUGUUGCCUCUACUGUCUAGAACUUGAAACUGGUCAAGAAAAUGUAUAGGAUCCUGUGUUUUUGACGAACCUUUGAAGAGAUGUGGCGAUUUAAGGAUUUUUACUGACGUUAUUAACCAAUACUAUUAUGUUGCUGUGUGGUUUUUCAAUAGCAUACAUGCCUUCAUUGUUUCUACAAAAAAACAUUUAUUCAAAUAAAUCAUAGCGUUUUAAUUAACUAAAAACAGAGAAACAAAAACAAGAACUGUUAUAACGUUUUAAAAUAAACGUUAUGAUUACGGACACCAAAACAGCACUGUAAGAACGCAAUAUGGUGCAAGGUAUGACAAAAAGUAUCUCGUUUUUGGAGAAAACGACCCGGAAGUGGAACCAGAGAACAACUUUUUAGCACUUCAACUGAGACUACUGCAAACUGGAC